rnacentral:misc_RNA from 1 species
GAUGAAGAACGCAGCAAAAUGCGAUAAGUAAUGUGAAUUGCAGAAUUCAGUGAAUCAUCGAAUCUUUGAACGCACAUUGCGCCCGCUGGUAUUCCGGCGGGCAUGCCUGUUCGAGCGUCAUUUCAACCCUCAAGCCCCCGGGUUUGGUGUUGGGGAUCGGCUCUGCCCUUCUGGGCGGUGCCGCCCCCGAAAUACAUUGGCGGUCUCGCUGCAGCCUCCAUUGCGUAGUAGCUAACACCUCGCAACUGGAACGCGGCGCGGCCAUGCCGUAAAACCCAACUUCUGAAUGUUGACCUCGGAUCAGGUAGGAAUACCCGCUGAACUUAAGCAUAUCAAUAAGCGGAGGA